AUACGGAGGGAGCUAGCGUUGUUCGGAAUUACUGGGCGUAAAGCGCGCGUAGGCGGGCUGGUCAGUCAGAGGUGAAAGCCCGGGGCUCAACCCCGGAACUGCCUUUGAUACUACCAGUCUAGAGUUCGAGAGAGGUGAGUGGAAUUCCUAGUGUAGAGGUGAAAUUCGUAGAUAUUAGGAAGAACACCAGUGGCGAAGGCGGCUCACUGGCUCGAUACUGACGCUGAGGUGCGAAAGCGUGGGGAGCAAACAGGAUUAGAAACCCCGGUAGUCC
rnacentral:rRNA from 1 species